rnacentral:rRNA from 1 species
UGGGUCAGCGACUUAUAUUCAGUGGCAAGGUUAACCGUAUAGGGGAGCCGUAGCGAAAGCGAGUCUUAACUGGGCGCUCAGUCUCUGGAUAUAGACCCGAAACCGGGUGAUCUAGCCAUGGGCAGGUUGAAGGUUGAGUAACAUCAACUGGAGGACCGAACCGACUAAUGUUGAAAAAUUAGCGGAUGACUUGUGGCUAGGGGUGAAAGGCCAAUCAAACUCGGAGAUAGCUGGUUCUCCCCGAAAGCUAUUUAGGUAGCGCCUCGGACGAAUACUACUGGGGGUAGAGCACUGUUAAGGCUAGGGGGUCAUCCCGACUUACCAACCCUUUGCAAACUCCGAAUACCAGUAAGUACUAUCCGGGAGACACACGGCGGGUGCUAACGUCCGUCGUGGAGAGGGAAACAACCCAGACCGCCAGCUAAGGUCCCAAAGUAUUGCUAAGUGGGAAACGAUGUGGGAAGGCUCAGACAGCUAGGAUGUUGGCUUAGAAGCAGCCAUCAUUUAAAGAAAGCGUAAUAGCUCACUAGUCGAGUCGGCCUGCGCGGAAGAUGUAACGGGGCUAAGCAAUACACCGAAGCUGCGGCAAUGUCUUUUAGACA